GGAGAGGUGUCUGAGCUGGCUGAAGGAGCACGCCUGGAAAGCGUGUAUACGUGAUUAAGCGUAUCGAGGGUUCGAAUCCCUCCCUCUCCG
rnacentral:tRNA from 1 species